rnacentral:rRNA from 1 species
GGGGGAUCUUAGGACCUCCCGCUACAGGGGCGGCCGAUGGCAGAUUAGCUAGUUGGUGGGGUAAAGGCCUACCAAGGCGACGAUCUGUAGCUGGUCUGAGAGGACGACCAGCCACACUGGGACUGAGACACGGCCCAGACUCCUACGGGAGGCAGCAGUGGGGAAUUUUGGACAAUGGGGGAAACCCUGAUCCAGCAAUGCCGCGUGUGUGAAGAAGGCCUUCGGGUUGUAAAGCACUUUUGUCCGGAAAGAAAACCUCUGGGUUAAUACCUCGGGGGGAUGACGGUACCGGAAGAAUAAGCACCGGCUAACUACGUGCCAGCAGCCGCGGUAAUACGUAGGGUGCAAGCGUUAAUCGGAAUUACUGGGCGUAAAGCGUGCGCAGGCGGUUCGCUAAGACAGAUGUGAAAUCCCCGGGCUUAACCUGGGAACUGCAUUUGUGACUGGC